GUAGGGGGCAAGCGUUGUCCGGAUUUAUUGGGCGUAAAGAGCGUGUAGGCGGCCAAACAGGUCAGCUGUGAAAACUCGAGGCUCAACCUCGAGACGUCGGUUGAAACCGUUUGGCUAGAGUCCGGAAGAGGAGAGUGGAAUUCCCGGUGUAGCGGUGAAAUGCGCAGAUAUCGGGAAGAACACCUAUGGCGAAGGCAGCUCUCUGGGACGGUACUGACGCUGAGACGCGAAAGCGUGGGGAGCGAACAGGAUUAGAUACCCUGGUAGUCCACGCCGUAAACGAUGGGCACUAGGUGUGGCGGGUGUCGACUCCCGCUGUGCCGAAGCUAACGCAUUAAGUGCCCCGCCUGGGGAGUACGGCCGCAAGGCUA
rnacentral:rRNA from 1 species